UUGGCUGAACAGAUGCCAGUGUACCCGAAUUCUGAGACACAACUGGAUGUUCUUUUCUUCUGCUUUUAAGAUUCCCAAUUUGGGAUGAAAUGCAGUUCACAUUAGAUUUGCUAUUUCUACAGUUUCAGUGAAGUGUAAGUUUCCAGCUAUGUUAUGGGGCAGCACAUAAACAAGAAGGAUAGAGGGAUGUGUGCCAUGUUGAAGUAGUGGCUGGCCAUCCUGCCCAGCACUUCUAGAAUCCUCCAUCUAAACAUCUGGUCUGAUAUUCUGUGCCUUUGCCAAGUGAUCACGAGUUUAUUGCAGUGGUACCCCCUGCAUCUCCACCGUCUUUUACAUGAACUCAAACUGCCUGUGAUGCCGGAGAGGACAAAAGUUCACAAGACAUCCUGAAGUGGAAUUGUGAUUGGAGUGAGACGGCCACAAUUAUGUAUGCUGGGAAGUGCAGAGGGGGCUGCGCGAGCUUUGGUUUGGAACCCCCAGAGAUUUAUUAUCUCCAACAUCCUUGAAGGCUGCAAGUUUUUCUUUCUCCCUGGCUAUUUUACCAUGCAGUGUAUUUAUUACAAAGGGCAAGGACCCAUCCAUUUGCUUCUCAUUUACUUUAA